UACGGGGGGAGCAAGCGUUGUUCGGAUUUACUGGGCGUAAAGGGCGCGUAGGCGGUCAGCACAAGUCAGUUGUGAAAUUUCGGAGCUCAACUCCGAAACUGCAUUUGAUACUGCGGUGCUUGAGGACUGGAGAGGAGACUGGAAUUCACGGUGUAGCAGUGAAAUGCGUAGAUAUCGUGAGGAAGACCAGUGGCGAAGGCGGGUCUCUGGACAGUUCCUGACACUGAGGCACGAAGGCCAGGGGAGCAAACGGG
rnacentral:rRNA from 1 species